rnacentral:rRNA from 1 species
GCUAGUAAUCGCGGAUCAGAAUGCCGCGGUGAAUACGUUCCCGGGUCUUGUACACACCGCCCGUCACACCAUGGGAGUCGGAAAUGCCCGAAGCCGGUGGCCUAACCGAUAAGGGAGGAGCCGUCGAAGGCAGGUCUGAUGACUGGGGUGAAGUCGUAACAAGGUACC